GCGAAUCUACAUGCCGAAAAUAACCGUUGUGCGUAUUGUAGGUGGGUCACGCUUGAGCCACCAAACCAAACCUCCAUUCCCAAGAAGAAAUCGCUGAAAUCAGAAAAGAAGAGAGGGAAGAAAGGUUCCUUUUUUGAUUCGAGCCAUUAACCCAUAAGAGGAAAGGAAAGAACUUUCCCCUGCGCGCUACAACUCCAACUACUGGAGUUCUUGGUUUGGGAAGAAGAAAGGUACUACCCUAGCAACCUCCUCACACUGAGAUGAAGAAAAAAG
rnacentral:lncRNA from 1 species